UCUGCUCUCUGGCUACCGAAGGAUCUCUUAUUUCUCCUUCAAAAACCACCGGGUCAUUACCCUCUCUUCAAAGCCUGGGGGCACUCUGCCCACCUUACUCAAAAGCCGGACAGCCCCUCCCUCCUCCCUUAUACCUGGAGGAAGCAGCGGUGGUCUGAAAGUCAGAUGGGGUCACUAUACGCCAGCGGGUGUGGAGCAGGCUGUUGGGGACCCUCUCUAGGGAAUACCAAAUGACGGCCGGACUAGUGCACAGUGCAGCAUCCUGCAAAGACUCUGAGCCCUUCUGCUCCGGGGGCAAGGAGACCAUUGGGAAUCUGGGUCCUCCAGUGGAUUGGCCUGGAAUGGCUAAUUAGAAGCUUGACCUUUCACAUGUCUGGGGAAUGUGAGUCUCCAGAACCCAACAAGAUUGGAACAAGGAAGCUCAUACCCUCAAUGCUGUUGGCAGCCACUCUGUGGCCAUGAGAUCCAGCUUUAAAAUGAUCCUUUGAGUAACAGAGCAAAGAGGCAGAAAGAUACUUGGGUUUUGAUGACUUCAAUGGAUAUUGGAUCAGUCAAUACCCUGAAAUCUGUCCUCUGGAUUCUAGGUGAGUCAGUACAUCCUCUUCAUUUUUCAAACAAAUUUGAGCUGGUAUUGUCGUUUCUGUUGUAACAUAUGAUAGUUUAAAAAUAUGACCACAAAAUUUUCAUACUCUUCCUGUCUGGGGGAUUUUAACCUUUGUUAAAGGGUUUAUGAAUGUAAAGGGAUCAAUUUAGGAGAACCGGGUCUGACUUUCCAAUAUAUAUAGAGAAGCAUUAUUUUAAACAUGU